AUGCAUUCAAUACUGGCCUGGGAAUAUGAAACAAAAACAUCAUGGAAACAUCGUCAUCAAGAAUGUGGAAGAAAAACAAUACGCUUUCUACAUCAUCAGAAAACUAUCAGUUUCGCACAAGCAGCAAAAUAAACCACGCACAGUUAUGCAAUAUCACUACACCACGUGGCCUGACCAUGGUACCCCGGAUCCUCUUUCAUUGGUUGUUUUCCAUAGUCAUGUGAUGAGAACAAGGACAAGUAGGAAUAAAUCACCAAUACUGGUACACUGCAGCGCAGGAAUAGGUCGAACAGGAACGUACAUUGCGCUGGAUGCCCUGUACAAGGCUGGUAAAGCGUCCGGUAAAAUCAAUGUAGCGGAGUAUGUAAAGAUUAUGAGGACAAACAGAAUGAACAUGGUCCAAACAUAUGAACAAUACAUGACGAUAUUUUUGGCACUGAACGAAAAAUUCAAGGCUUUCAUGGAAACACAAAGCCUUCCUGAUUUUAGUACGAAAAUGGAAACACUGGCCGGCGAUCACCCAGCUAACCAAACAGGCAUCAGGAAGGAGUUUCAGAAAUUGAUGGAAAUUCGACCAGUAUACACAAGUGCUCAUUUCAAGAAUUCCAGUCAGCAUUUAGACAAUAAAAGAGGAAACAAUGUUUUACCACUGGACAAAUACAUGUUGUAUCUGACAUCAUCUGUUGGUAAACGAGGCAACGUCAUCAAUGCGAUUCAUGUAUCAUCUUACCAGAAAGAUAGAGCGUUUAUAGUGACUCAUUACCCGACACCAGAGGACGCUGUUGACUUCCUGCGCCUGCUCAAUGAUCAUGAAUCUGACACAAUCGUCUGUAUGAACCCAUUACAUGCAAUUGAGUCGUCGAAGACAUGGUUACCAGAAAUAGCGUCUUCCAGGGACGUGUCGCCAUUUGUUGUACAGCAUGAAUCUGAGAGUGACACCGAGGUCAAGGUCACUACAGUCACCAUCAUACACGGGGAGAGGACACCUCAUUCAGUAGUAGUUGUAGAACCCAAGGGACAACUGAAAUCAACCGGAACUCCACCAGACACAUCGUUUCUCCGAAGCAUGGUAUCAUAUACUCGAAACCUUUCAACAGAAAACCCCAUUACUAUAGUCAGCAAAGAUGGUGCAUCACUAUGCGGAGUAUUCUGUGCUGUGUUUAACUCCAUACAACAAAUCGAAAUGGACGACAACAUUGACGUGUUUACAACAGUCAGACAACUACAGACAAGGAGACCAGAAUUCUGUUCCACACAGGAGGAGUAUUCCUUGGUGUAUACAACGUUGCGUGAUUACAUUGAAACAACAUCAGAGACUGUGUACAGCAAUCAAUAGAAUGUGUACAGCAAUUAGUAGAACAUUGAAACAACAUCAGAGGCUGUGUACAGCAAUUAGUAGAACAUUGAAACAACAUCAGAGACUGUGUACAGCAAUUAGUAGAUCAUUGAAACAACAUCAUAGACUUUGUACAAUCAGUAGAAAAACCUAUGUUGGUUCUAUUAGAGUUUUUAGUAAUUUGCAUUAAAAAGGGGGAAAUGGAGGAAAUUAGACCGAAGAUACUCAAUGUUGAAUUGUCAUAACCCUAUUUAAUGCAAAAGGAAACAUGUUUCUUAUCAUGCAUGUAUUGUUGUCAGAAACCCUUUUCUGCAACUAUUUUUUUUUAAAUUAAUGCACUGUGCGGCCUGUUCAUUGCCUGUACAUACUUCCUGUAUUACUAUUUUGUAUUUACUUGUUAUUUUCUGUAAACAGUCAUAAGUUAUUAAAGUUUAGCUAGAAAAUC
rnacentral:misc_RNA from 1 species